AUGCCUUAAACUUAUGAGUAAGGAAAAUAACGAUUCAGGUGACGUCCAAAUCCUCAUUGCUAAUGUGAGAUGAAUUUUUGAGCAGGUAAAGGUCUCCCCUAAGGUGACCCACCUACUUUGCAGGAUGCCUGGAACCUUCCAUCUGCCCG
rnacentral:snRNA from 1 species